AGCCUACUUUUUUUUUCUUUGGGAACUAUUCCAACUGCUUUUUUUCGGUUCUACCUUUUUUGGGUCUGUUUCAUUUUCUUUGCUUAGAUGUCUAAACUUUGAAGGCUGGCAUUCUUGAAUUUAAUUUGCGUGUACUCUGGGGCUUCCUCAUUAGUGUGUGAAAGAGAGUGUGAUGAUGGCCUGAUAAUUGCAUUUCCAAAUAUGAGGGAUUUAACAGUGGAAACUUGAAAGGCAGUUGCUUGUAAGUUCAUACUUCUUG
rnacentral:lncRNA from 1 species